rnacentral:rRNA from 1 species
AGCGAACGCUGGCGGCAGGCCUAACACAUGCAAGUCGAGCGGUAAGGCCACUUCGGUGGUACACGAGCGGCGGACGGCUGAGUAACACGUAGGAACGUACCCCAAACUGAGGGAUAACUGCUCGAAAGAGUAGCUAAUACCGCAUGUGCUCUAAGGAGUAAAGCUACGGCGGUUUGGGAACGGCCUGCGCAUGAUUAGCUUGUUGGUGAGGUAAUGGCUCACCAAGGCGACGAUCAUUAGCUGGUCUGAGAGGAUGAUCAGCCAGACUGGGACUGAGACACGGCCCAGACUCCUACGGGAGGCAGCAGUAGGGAAUUUUCCACAAUGGGGGCAACCCUGAUGGAGCAACGCCGCGUGCAGGAUGAAGGCCCUUGGGUCGUAAACUGCUUUUAUCUGUGAAGAUUAUGACGGUAGCAGAUGAAUAAGGAUCGGCUAACUCCGUGCCAGCAGCCGCCGCCG